rnacentral:rRNA from 1 species
AUGACGGAGGUGCUUCUGCGGCUGCCGAUCAAGUCCCUGCUCCGCUUCCGCGCCGUGUGCCGCUCCUGGGCAGCGAACGUCUCCAGCGACGAGUUCUGCACGCUCCACGCGGCCAAGGCCGACGCCGACGCCGCGUCGGCUCCACCCAGGCUGCUCUUCGUCGCGCCCACCGCGGGAUACAAUUCCACGGCGGUCUAUUCCUGCUCGCCGUCGGGCCCCAGCGCGGACGUGCUCCUCACCCUCGACGAUGUGCGGGGCAACUUCGUCGGCCCGGUGGCCGCGCAGUGCCGGGGCCUCAGCCUCCUGUACGACGCCGUUCCGCCGGCCUACUACGUGCUCAACGCUGCCACCAGGGCGGUCACGCGGCUCCCUCCUUGCCCCGACGCGCCGAGAUCCAGCGCCGGACUGGGGUUUGAUCCGCGGACCGAGGAGUACAAGGUUGUCAGGCUGUUCACGCAGUCAUGCUACGACAAGCAGCUUAGGGACAGCAGGCUCCUUACCAAAUGCGAGACAUACACUCUUGGAGUUGGAGGCAGGUGUGGUGACCAGUGGACGCCUGCUGCCGGAGGAGUGCCGUCCUCCCGAGCUGCUCAAGCUGCCCUUGCAAAUGCUGAUCUCGACAAGCUGCCCCCGGUGUUCGUGGAUGGUUUUCUCCACUGGCUUAUGCUUCCGCUGGUUCAGAAAACCAUGUCCACCAUCAUGUCCUUCUCCAUCACAGAGGAGGCUUUCGGAUGGGUCCAGCCGCCGCCCUUCAUAACGUCUAGAAAUUCACACUUGGUGGAGCUUGACGGCCACCUAUGCAUGGCCCGCGACCUUCGUGCCGAUUCACCUAGCAUACUGGAGAUAUGGAAGCUGCUGCGGGGCUCUACCUCUGGCGACUGGUCCCUGGAUUAUCGCAUCGAUUUGUCGGCGCAGACAACAAGAGAGGUUCUUAUCGAGCUUGAAGCAAUUCGUAUUGAGCCUCAGGUUGUCAGAGUCCUUGGUGUUACGGGCAAUGAUAGAUCGGGGAAGAAGAUCAUCAUCGGCACGGCGCAACACGAGGUGCAUGCCUGGGAUGCCACGUCCGGAACCACCGAAACCAUUUUCUCGGUCGAGGAUACAAACCUAGGCUAUCAAGCCGAGUCUUCUUCCCUCCAUCUCUGCUUAUUCAAGGAAAGUCUUGCUCCGGUCCAUAGAACAAAUGAGGAGACGUCAUGGUCAUCUCCCGUGGGUAAGGCUGUCAAGGAGAUCUUGCUCCGGCUCCCUGCUAAAUCUGUCACACGGUUCAAAACUGUCUGCACCCAGUGGCGCAGACUGGUUGAGGGCAAGGUCUUUACGCGCUCAUACUUGGAAACGCAUAAGAAAAUGGACAAGCAGGGGGCAAAGAUCAUGCUCGUGGGCAAGGGCACCCAACAGGCACCCUUCCGGUUCACUCCGCUCAAGAAAUGGCUUUCCGAGGGAUCCAGCUCUAGUGAAGGUGCAAGACUGGAGACCAAGGUGGUUUGCUCCAAGCCUUGCCAUGGCUUGAACCUUGUAAGCACUGCAGAAGAAGACUAUCUUUACAACCCUUGCACAGGUUACUGCUACAAGAUCCCUUCCGACCCAGGGUCAUCUGUGCGUACACCAUGGGAAAGGCCCGAUGAUGGUUGUGCUGGUAUACAACAAAACUCCGCCUUCUCAAUAGGUAAUAAGAACAUUGGCUUGGGUUUCAGUCCGUUGAAUCAGGAGCAUAUAGCUAUAAUCAUUCGUUAUAAGCAUAAGGACUUAAGAUCUCGCAAUUAUCGCUUGACAUGCUCGGUAUGGCAGCGAUGUAGUUGGUACCAAUAUAGUAUCUCCAACCCGCCACUUCCAGUGAAUGACAUGCCACCGGCCUAUGUGGCUGGGGUAUUUUACUGGAUGGGCGAUCCUUUGCUGGGUCCGAUCAAUGAACAGGUCAUAGUGGCGUUUGACAUUGCCAGAAAUGAAUAUGACACCAUCCCCUGCCCCUCACACAUUGCAAGAUGGUGCAGCAAUGGCCGUCGGCAUGGCUUUGUGACAGAGCUUCAGGGAACGUUGUGUGUUGUUCUUGCAGAUUCGAUGGAGGAUGAGUUACAGAUAUGGAAGCAGGAGCAUGAUCGGUGGGACAGAGCAUACACCAUAUGUUUGAAAGCAUGGCCCGACUACUCUCUUGUGUCGAAUGUCGUGGUUCCGUUGUCCAUUGAUUCCAAGGAUGGCAGGAUAAUGUUGAGCACCGGAAGGAAGGUUGGUCUCUACGAUCCAAUUGGUAAAACACUUGAGAGGUUGUGCGCAGUAGACGGGAUGCCUCGUUGCACCGGUAAAAGGAGGGAACUUCCUAGAGCUUCGGAAGGAUUGCAACGACCAAGCAAAAGGCCACGCUCGGGCCACAACAUACAUGGAUGCAUGGAAUCGGUAACGGGACAAGACAUACUCCAGGCUUCCUCUUUGAAGAAAUGCAGCAACAAUAUGUCUAUGGAGAAGCUAAAUGCAGAAAUCCCUAGUGCAAUUAUGUCUGCAGUUCCGCUGUUAUACGAGGAGAGCCUAACGAGUUAUCCGCGUGUGCUCAAAAAGAGGUUGUUAGACUGA